rnacentral:rRNA from 1 species
GCACAAUGGGGGAAACCCUGAUGCAGCCAUGCCGCGUGUGUGAAGAAGGCCUUCGGGUUGUAAAGCACUUUCAGUAGGGAGGAAGGUAGUGUAGUUAACACCUGCACUAUUUGACGUUACCUACAGAAGAAGCACCGGCUAACUCCGUGCCAGCAGCCGCGGUAAUACGGAGGGUGCGAGCGUUAAUCGGAAUUACUGGGCGUAAAGCGCAUGCAGGCGGCCUGUUAAGUCAGAUGUGAAAGCCCCGGGGCUUAACCUCGGAAUUGCAUUUGAAACUGGCAGGCUAGAGUCUUGUAGAGGGGGUAGAAUUUCAGGUGUAGCGGUGAAAUGCGUAGAGAUCUGAAGGAAUACCAGUGGCGAAGGCGGCCCCCUGGACAAAGACUGACGCUCAGAUGCGAAAGCGUGGGGAGCAAACAGGAUUAGAUACCCUGGGAG